rnacentral:rRNA from 1 species
GACGAACGCUGGCGGCGUGCCUAAUACAUGCAAGUUGAGCGCUGACGGUUGGUGCUUGUGCCAACUGGAUGAGCAGCGAACGGGUGAGUAACGCGUGGGGAAUCUGCCUUUGAGCGGGGGACAACAUUUGGAAACGAAUGCUAAUACCGCAUAAAAACUUUAAACACAAGUUUUAAGUUUGAAAGAUGCAAUUGCCUCACUCAAAGAUGAUCCCGCGUUUUAUUAGCUAGUUGGUGAGGUAAAGGCUCAACAAGGCGAUGAUACAUAGCCGAGCUGGGAGGGUGAUUGGCCAAAACUGGACUGAGACAAGGGCCAAGCUCCCAAGGGAGGGAGCAGGAGGGAAUUUUCGGAAAUGGAGGAAAGUCUGACCGAGCAACGACGCGUGAGUGAAGGAGGGUUUCGGAUUGUAAAACUCUGUUGGUAGAGAAGAACGAGGGUGAGAGUGGAAAGCCCAUGAAGUGACGGUAACUAAAGAGAAAGGGCCGGCUAACUACGUG